rnacentral:rRNA from 1 species
UACGUAGGCGGACUUAUAAGUCAGUGGUGAAAUCUAGCAGCUUAACUGUUAACGUGCCAUUGAUACUGUAGGUCUUGAGUAUAACUGAGGUAGUUGGAAUGCGUAGUGUAGCGGUGAAAUGCUUAGAGAUUACGCAGAACACCUAUUGCGAAGGCAGACUACUAAGUUAUAACUGACGCUGAGGUACGAAAGCGUGGGGAGCGAACAGGAUUAGAUACCCUGGUAGUCC